AGCCACAUAAAUGGUAUGAUCCCACAAACUUUUUACCCCUUAAAUUUUUGAGACCACAAAUUUCAAAAGUAUUCUUUUUUUCUUAAACUCUGUGCCGAGUUAGCUCAAACAAUAUGAAACGAAAGGAGUAUUAAAGUAGCCUUCUUUCUCAAGAACCAAGUUCCAGCCAUGUAAAACCCAACAGAAACUGCUUUUAAGAGCUCCAAAGUUGGCCCUGAAACUCAACUGAAAACUAUACUGGAAAACCACUAAAAAUCAGCCUCCAAAACCCACCGUUUCAGCCCCAAAAAUGCAGCCGAAUCCAGCAGCAAAAUUGUUGAACAAGCCAGUACGAAAUACUAGCCAAACACCUCAUUUUCAACUCUAAAAAGCCAUGAAACACAGCUCAAAAACUAGCUGUAAAUUCAUCCAAACACAGCCUCAAAAUCUUUCAAAACACAGCUCCAAAAUGAGCUCAAGCCCCUCCACAAAGAGCUGCGAAACUCUGAAAAAGAGCAACCAAAAACAUCACCCAAAACCCACCCAAACUAGCUGGAAAUUCCAGCUCCAAAAAGCAGCGAAAAAGUCCUCAAACCCAGCGAAACUAUCCAUGUCCAGCACCCUUUUUCAGCCCGUUAUCACAACUCCAUAAUCAGCCAAAAAACCAUCCGCAACAGCGCCAAAACAGCAGUAGAGAUCAGCUGCUAACAACCCCAAAAUCUAGCCUUAAUGCUACCCAAAACCAAGACUAAAAGACCCUUGAGACAACCUGAGACUUCUCCACUUUUCAGUCAAUUUCGUGCUUCCGACAAAUUUGUGCCGUUGGAGGUUCCCGGUGGUGGUCUUUGCUCUUGGUUUGAUUAUCUAGUAGCAACGAUUUUAAUGUUUGGGCUUCAAUCGACUUGGAGCCAAAUUCGAGAGGAAAAGCGGUAAUUAUGGAUUGAGUUGGUUGUGGAAGUUCGAGGUAAGUGUUUGGUCUAUCCAUAGCUUGAACUAUUAGAAGUUGUGUCCUAUUUGCUAUUUGUUCCUUGUUGAAUACGACGUAUAGGUAUGGUGACGAGUAUCUAUACGUUGGUGUCAAGCAUGACCGUGAGUCUUCUACUAUAAUUUUCAUGAGUUCGUUGUAUUAUUCUUGCAUUGGUGAAGAUUUUUAUUUGUUGUGUAAAGUUGUGGAAAGAAUUGUAUCUUAUGAACAUUGAAGAGCGACGGCUCCAGCUGUGUAACGAAUUGUGAAUGUAUAAGUGAUAAUUGAAACUCUAGAGCAUUGGCUCGAGUUGCAAAGUGAAUUGUGAAGUGAAAGUGAGAAAGAGAAG
rnacentral:lncRNA from 1 species